CACGCCGUAAACUAUGAAUACUAGGUGUGGGGGGACUGACCCCCUCCGUGCCGGAGUUAACACAAUAAGUAUUCCACCUGGGGAGUACGGCCGCAAGGUUGAAACUCAAAGGAAUUGACGGGGGCCCGCACAAGCAGUGGAUUAUGUGGUUUAAUUCGAAGCAACGCGAAGAACCUUACCAGGGCUUGACAUCCAACUAACGAAGCAGAGAUGCAUUAGGUGCCCUUCGGGGAAAGAUGAGACAGGUGG
rnacentral:rRNA from 1 species